rnacentral:lncRNA from 1 species
AGCAUGGCUCCAGAGCCCUGAGAAGCAGCAAAACCUCUCCUGGAGCUGGAUGGAGCAGGUUAUUCCCAAGAUUUAAGAUCAAUGGGCAGAAACCCCUGGAAAAAAACCUGAAAUAGGAAGGAGAGCUGAUGGGCAGGGAUGUGUGUACCUUACCUUUGCAGGACAGACAGCCUGGGUGUUCCCACCACAAUCUCUUUGCUGCUCCACACUCCAUCAGAGCCCUGCAACCAAACAAGAGGAGUGAAGAGAGGAUUUGUGGUUAUCACAGUGGCAGC